rnacentral:rRNA from 1 species
AGCGAACGCUGGCGGCAGGCCUAACACAUGCAAGUCGAACGAACGUUCCGGGGUUAGUGGCGGACGGGUGGGUAACCCGUGGGAACGUGCCUCUGGGCUCGGAAUAACUCAGGGAAAAUCGUGCUAAUACCGAAUGUGCCACUGCGGGGGACGUUUAAUCGCCGUUAGAGCGGCUUGCGUCGGAUUAGCUAGUUGGCUGAGGUUAUGGGGCUCGAUGGCGACAAUCAGUAGCGGGUAAGAGAGGAUGGACACCCACAUUGGGACUGAGACCCGGCCGAAACUCUUGCGGGAGGGAGCAGUGGGGAAUCGUGCGCAAUGGGCGAAGGCCUGACGCAGCCAGGCCGCGUGAAUGAUGAAGGUGUUAGGAUUGUAAAAUUCUUUCACCGGGGAGGAUAAUGACGGUACCCGGAGAAUAAGCCCCGGCUAACUGCGUG